rnacentral:rRNA from 1 species
GCGGCACGUGCGAUCGCCCGCGAGGGCGGUCACGAAGCCCUGACGAGUAGGAGGGUCGCGGCGGUGAGCGCAGAAGGGCUGGCCGCGAGGCCGUCUGGAGCCGCCGUCGGUGCAGAUCUUGGUGGUAGUAGCAAAUACUCCAGCGAGGCCCUGGAGGACUGACGUGGAGAAGGGUUUCGUGUGAACAGCCGUUGCACACGAGUCAGUCGAUCCUAAGCCCUAGGCGAAAGCCGAUGUCGAUGCGGUGUAGUUUUUACCAAAUAUAUAUAYRUAUGUAUAGAGCGAGAACACACCCGUCGGGCGAAAGGGAAUCCGGUUCCUAUUCCGGAACCUGGCAGC